AUUGAACGCUGGCGGCAGGCUUAACACAUGCAAGUCGAGCGAGCGGCGGACGGGUGAGUAAUGUAUGGGUACUUCCCGAUAGAGGUGGAAUACUACUGGAAACGGUAGUUAAUACCGCAUACUAUCGGGUAAACAAUCUGGGAGUAGCUAGUAGGUGAGGUAAUGGCUCACCUAGGCGCCGAUCCCUAGCUGGUCUGAGUGAGUGAUCAGCCACACUGGGACUGUGACACGGCCCAGACUCCUACGGAGGCAGCGGUGGGGAAUAUUGCACAAUGGGGGAAACGCUGAUCCAGCCAUCCCGCGUCUAUGCUGAAGGCCUGCGGGUUGUAAAGUACUUUUGGCAGAGAAGCGGUAUCUGCAGAAUAAGCACCGGCUAACUACGUGCCAGCAGCCGCGGUAAUAC
rnacentral:rRNA from 1 species